AUAUUAAAUAGUGGAGGUUUAUACUUGUCAAAAUGUGAAGCAAACUGUGGGGGUCUAUACCCUCUAGGAAGUGCAACAUUUGUGGGAGUUCGGAAUCUCCAGAAAAUAUUCCAACAAAUUGUGGCAUUGCACAUAAAGACGCCAGAAAAUAUGUUGUGGCGCAUGCGCUACUGGCAUUUGUUGUGGAUGCCACAAAUAUUCUUUGUGGGGGUUAAAGACCUCCACUAUUUGCAAAUAUAACCCCCCACAAAAUACUUAAAUUUUUGUAGUGACAUAAUUUACCCUUAAAGGCCGAAACAUGUCUUAUAAAAUUACAAGAUCCUUUAACUUGUUUUAAUCAAUUCCAAGCAUAGUUUUUACAAAAAAUUAACAUACAACCUCAAAAAAACUUCAAACCACAUCAAAAAUUCAUGAUCAUCAAAAGCCCUAACCAAACUUUAACUUCAAAAUUAAUCAUCUUCCAGCCAUCAAAAUUAGAAAUUAAUACCUUGAAUGGAAUCCUUAAACACCAAGCUUUCUUUUCCACCAAUCAAUUUCAUAAAACCCUAACUUUCUCUCUCUAGAUGAAUAAUGUCAACACUCUUUGGAUGAGAGUUUCUCACUCUACAAAUCUCUCAAAGAAGAACGAAAUAUAGCUUCGAGCUCACAAGAUCAAGCUCUACAACUUUUGUGUAAUGAACUUUCUCCAAAAAGUGCUUAAAAUUCAAGAACACAUAAGCUCUCUCUCUCUCUCUAGUAUAAGGCUUGGCCAUGGCAAGAAGAAAUGGAGGAGAAGUGGCCGUGGAGCUCUUAAGAGAAAAGGAUGACCGGUUAUACACUUAGGGCGCGUUUGGUACGCGACUUCUUUUAACAUGUCCGGGAAUGCAUGGUGGGGGAAAAAUGAUAGCAACGCUUGGUAGCUCAGAUGUGAUAACUUCCCUGGGCAACUUUCUUUUCGGAAAAAUAUGUGUGUGUGUUAAUUUUCGUACUGUUUGACAAAUCUUUGAUCCAAAAAAUAUGUGGAAUUAUUGAGUUCCCCGGGAAGCAAAAAUCAACCGCGAAAAAAUGGACAAAAAUGACCUCCAAUUUGUACAAUCUGUACAUUUUUGGUUUUCGCAAAAGCUACAACAAAUGAAAGGUUGUGCAUCGUCCGUUUGAAAGAAGAUCUACACAACCGUCGAAGCUUGCAAGUCACCCGCAGUUGCCACAUCCGAAGAAUCUCCAACGAAAGCAAAGUUGGGUUAUAUUCCACACGCAUAUGAAGCUAAUCAUGCGUUUUGAUUUUGUCUUUAACGGGCAGUUUUGCAGCUGAUAAAGUUUGAUGAAAUAAUACAAACCUUGAACUUGUAGGACAUACAGUCGUCGGAUGGGCAUUGUUUGCGAUCCAUCUCCAUGAAGAAUGUUGGUUACUGUGGAUGUAAGAUGGAAACAAACAAAGCAUACAUGGUUUUAUGAGUGACAGAGAACUAGCAGUGAAAUUAUCAGCCUUGCCUGCAGAAUUAGUUAGUAUUUGAAGCUGGGUGUUUCCUGCCAUGUGUGAAUGGGACAGUCAGAUGAUUUUGUCAUGUGCACUACUUGUACUUAUUGUUUAAGUAUGGCAUUUGUGUAUUUAUCAAGGAUAUCGAACUGCAGGGGUUAUUUGUAUCCACAAUGUAUGUGAACCUGGAAUGUAACUUAAAUAUGCUCCUGAAUGAUAUGGAAAUAUAGUUGUAUUUCAUUUACAACAGAAUGUUGGUAUAGAA